UCAUACGGUGGAGAACAACAGUCUCAUAAAUCUGAGAAAACCUCAUCAUCAGAAACCAGUCAUUCACUAUGAAUGGAAUAGAAAGUAGGAUUGUCUGGAGUUUAUUAUUUUUAGCUGCUAUUCAAGGAGUCUGGAGUGAGAUCAGACUGCAGCAGUCUCCAUCUGAGCUGAAAAGACCUGGAGAGACAGUCAAGAUCUCAUGUAUCACAUCUGGUUAUACGAUGACUACUUACAGCAUUUGCUGGAUCAAACAAAAGCCAGGAGAAGCUCUGGAGUGGAUUGGUUGGAUAAACACGCAAACAACCGUUGCUACCUAUGCCAGCUCUUUUCAAAGUCGAUUCAGUUUGACUCAGGAUGUGUCCAGCAGCACUCAGUACCUGCAGAUCAAGAGUCUGACAGCUGAAGAUUCUGCUGUUUACUUCUGU